rnacentral:tRNA from 1 species
GUCCCAGUAGUAUAAAUAUUACUCUGGUCUUGUAAGCCC